UACGGGGGGAACGAGUGUUAUUCAUCAUAACUGGGCGUAAAGGGCGAGUAGAUGGCAUUAUCAGUGUUGAAUAAACUUGGAAUGAAGUUUUUCUUUCAUACAAUAUGCUUGAGUUAGUAGAUGUCAGUGGAAUUUAAUCUAGAGGGGUGAAAUGCGGCAUAGAUUAGAGACCAACAACGGGCGAAGGCGAACUGACAAUAUUAACGUGACGUUGAGGCGCAAAAGCGUAGGGAGCAAACAGG
rnacentral:rRNA from 1 species